GUCUACGGCUAUACCACCCUGAACACACCCGAUCUCGUCUGAUCUCGGAAGCUAAGCAGGGUCGGGCCUGGUUAGUACUGGGAUGGGAGAGCUGAGAGUCUAUAAAUA
rnacentral:rRNA from 1 species